rnacentral:lncRNA from 1 species
AAAUACUAUUUUUCUAUGAGAUAGUGUUUUCAUAGAAAAUUAGUGUUUUCAACAUUUGGUAUCAGGGCGAGUACCAAAUUUUCAACACAAAUAUGGGAUGUGUUUGGUUCGAAGUCGGAAUUGAUAUCGGAGUCGGAACGAGAAUAAGUUGGAAACGGAAUCGAAAUGAUUCAUUACCUCAUUCUAUUUGGUUAGCCAGCUGAAUCGGAAUUGAAAUAAAUCAUUCCCAUUGUAGUUGUUUGGUUCAUAUAGAUAUCAGGAAAGUAAUCAAAUUAAUAUGUUAAUUUUAUCUUUAUAAUAUAUUAGUUUAAAUUCAAACUGAAAAUUAAAUAUUAAAAAUUUAUGUCAAAAUUUUAAAUAUAUUUUUUUAAAAAUUAAAAUUUGAAAUUGAACGGAUAAUUCAAAAUAUGAAACUAAAUUUUGAUUUAUUCAAAUUCAAACUUAAAAUUAUAAUUAUAAUUUCAAUUUCAAUUUGAAUCCAUAAAUUUAAUUUAAAUUUUAAAUAAAAUUUGAAUAAAACUUAAGAUUUUAAAUUAAAUUUAAAUUUAUAAACUAGAUUUAAAAUGCUUGAUUUAAGGUAAAAUUUAAAUUUAAAUUUAUAAAUAUAAUUUUUAAAAACUUAAACUUAUAUUUUAAUUAAAAAAUAAGCUUAAAAAGUUAAAUUUAAUCCGAGCAAAUCCAUUCCGUGCGGAUUCAAUUCCCAAUCUGGCCUCCUAGGCCGGAUUGGAAAAGAGGGUAAUUGGGGUGAUUCCCAUUCAUCCGGGAAUCAGAAUCGAAAUAGAAAUUCCACGUACCAAACAGGGACAAAUGAAUUCAUCCAUUCCGAUUCCGAUUUCAAAAUGAAAAAUGGGCGAACCAAACACGCCCUUGGUCUACAAGUUAUUCUUAAGGCUACGUUUUGUUCAAAGGAUAAAAGAAGAAUAAGAGAUUUAUUCCUCUUAUUCUUCCAAAUAGUGUUAAAAUUGCCAAGAACUAUUAUUCUCCUCUUAACGGGUUAUUCCGGAAUAACCCGUUAAGAGGGGAGAAUAGUAGUUCCACCUAUUAGGUGGAACAAGCUAUUCUCUACCUUAUUCCUCUCUACUAAUUAAAUUAUUAAUAAUUAUAAAUUAUAAUUAAUUAACCCAAUUAAUUUUUUUAAUAAUUGACUAAUUAAUUAUUUAACUUAUUAAAUUAAUAAAUAUUUAAAUAAUAGUUUAUUUAUAAUUUAUUAUUAUUUAUCUAAUUAAAUAGUUAGCCAUAUGAUAUGCUUAUUCAAUCAUUAACUAAUAUUUAUAUUAUUUAAAUAAUUAGUAUUUUAAUUUAUAUAAUUAAUAUAUUAACUUAAAAUAAAUGAUUAAAUAAUUAAUUAAUAUUAACAUAUUGACUUAAUAUUAACUUAUAAUUAUUUACUAAUUAAUGUCAUCUUCGUCAUCUCAUAUAGUAAUUUUAAUUAAUUUAUAAAAUAAUUUUGAUUAAUUUAUUUAUUAACUUAAAAUAUUAUUUUACUAAUACUUAAUUAGAUGCUUAUUGUUUUAAUAAAUUAUUUUUAUUUUCAAUCAUAAUUACUCUUAUCCCUACUAUUCCAACCCAAUCAACCAAACAUAACUUUUUUUAUUUCUCUAAAUAUCUCGAUCCUUGUCCAAAGACUCCAAACACAAAUUUAAAUUAAUUCCUAUCUAUCCCAGAAGUUAUACAUAUCCGAAGAAUAAAUAAAAAUAGCUUAUUUUCGAACCAAAUAAUACCUUAAGAAUAAAUAAAAAUAGCUUAUUUUCGAACCAAAUGAUACCUUAAGAUAAGAUAAAUUACCUCACAGGUGAAAUAUCUUAAAGAACCAAUCAAU